GUCUACGGCUAUACCCCCCUGAACGCGCCCGAUCUCGUCUGAUCUCGGAAGCUAAGCAGGGUCGGGCCUGGUUAGUACUUGGAUGGGAGAAGAGUGCCCGGCUACAAGAGAGG
rnacentral:rRNA from 1 species